AGCCUGAUGCAGCCAUGCCGCGUGUGUGAAGAAGGCCUUCGGGUUGUAAAGCACUUUCAGUUGUGAGGAAAGGUUAGUAGUUAAUACCUGCUAGCUGUGACGUUAACAACAGAAGAAGCACCGGCUAACUCCGUGCCAGCAGCCGCGGUAAUACGGAGGGUGCGAGCGUUAAUCGGAAUUGGCGGUUUGUUAAGCGAGAUGUGAAAGCCCCGGGCUCAACCUGGGAACUGCAUUUCGAACUGGCAAACUAGAGUGUGAUAGAGGGUGGUAGAAUUUCAGGUGUAGCGGUGAAAUGCGUAGAGAUCUGAAGGAAUACCGAUGGCGAAGGCAGCCACCUGGGUCAACACUGACGCUCAUGUACGAAAGCGUGGGGAGCAAACGGGAUUAGAUACCCCGGUAGUCCACGCCGUAAACGAUGUCUACUAGGAGUUCGGUUUUUCGGAACUGUCUUCCAAAGCUAACGCAUUAAGUAGACCGCCUGGG
rnacentral:rRNA from 1 species